rnacentral:rRNA from 1 species
GACAGAGGGUGCAAACGUUGUUCGGAAUUACUGGGCGUAAAGCGAGUGUAGGCGGUUCUGUAAAGUCGGGUGUGAAAGCCCCGGGCUCAACCCGGGAAGUGCACUCGAAACUCACAGGCUAGGAGUAUCGGAGAGGUUGGUGGAAUUCUCGGUGUAGAGGUGAAAUUCGUAGAUAUCGAGAGGAACACCGGUGGCGAAGGCGGCCAACUGGACGAAUACUGACGCUGAGACUCGAAAGCGUGGGGAGCAAACAGG